rnacentral:rRNA from 1 species
UGGGGAAUAUUGCACAAUGGGCGCAAGCCUGAUGCAGCCAUGCCGCGUGUAUGAAGAAGGCCUUCGGGUUGUAAAGUACUUUCAGCGGGGAGGAAGGUGUUGAGGUUAAUAACCUCAGCAAUUGACGUUACCCGCAGAAGAAGCACCGGCUAACUCCGUGCCAGCAGCCGCGGUAAUACGGAGGGUGCAAGCGUUAAUCGGAAUUACUGGGCGUAAAGCGCACGCAGGCGGUCUGUCAAAUCGGAGGUGAAAUCCCCGGGCUCAACCUGGGAACUGCAUUCGAAACUGGCAGGCUAGAGUCUUGUAGAGGGGGGUAGAAUUCCAGGUGUAGCGGUGAAAUGCGUAGAGAUCUGGAGGAAUACCGGUGGCGAAGGCGGCCCCCUGGACAAAGACUGACGCUCAGGUGCGAAAGCGUGGGGAGCAAACA